CACACACACCCCACCCGCAGCCCCCUCGAUACCCUCCACCGAGCGCCCUGGAUCUCGCCGCCCCGCACGCCUCCUCCCGUCGGUCGACCUACCCAAGGCGCCGCCGCCCCCCUCCCCUCCGCCAAACCAGAGCCUCCGCGCACAUUGCUCUAGCUAGCCCCCGAGCAGAGAGCGGGGCCGCCCCCACUCCGCAUCCCGCGUGCCUCCCGUCGGCGAGCGGCUCCCUUCUUGUCGCCGGUGCCGUGCCCCCCGCCGGCUACACGGGCGCAGAGACUCGCUGCGUGCCCCCGCUCCGCCGUUCGUGCCGCGUGGGUGCCGUGCGCGGCUCGCUGAGGAGUCGUGGUAGCUGAAGGUGCGGGGGAGACACACACGAGGCGGGAUCCGAAUUGGCCAGGAGAGGUGGCGAUCUCCGUCGAGAUCGGAUCCAUGGGCUCCUCCGCUGUCCAGCACGACUCCCUCUCCGCGCCAGGUAACGCACGGCUCCCGUCCUUGGCUGGAUCACGCUAGAGGAAUUGGCUGAUUUUUGCAGUGCCCGCCGUCCGACCUUCGCCGUCCGACCUUCCCAUGUUGUAUACCCGCAUCCUCUACAUUCGUCUACAAGCUUCUCAAUCCCCAGCAACACCCCUGUAUGUGCAGAAUGCUUUUGUUCUUCAGUUUGGGAAGAUCUGAACUUCUGAAGAAACUAUAUUGAGAAACGACACCCACCAUCUUGGCAUUAAUCAAAUCCAGGUACAGAAUUGAUGCAGAGAAAAAAGUAUGUGAAUACUGGUACAUGCUCCAUUUUGCAUUACUCUUACCGUAGACGACGGAUUGUUCGCUUUCAGGCUUGAUUCUUGGUAUUAUUGAGAAGGUGGCUCGUCGGAUGCUGUCGCCAUGGAUGAUGACGGCGAUCUCGUUCUCUAUCGGAGAAUGAAGAGACACAGGAGAAGGAACAAGGAUCAUGUGCUCACCGUGCAGCACGGCGUCACCUCUUUGCUCCGGAGCGUCGGGCUUCUUGCUAGAGAGCAUUCAGUGUCGGAUUUCCUACUGUGUAUCAUCCUUCUUUCAUUUGUGGUCCAUUGUUUGCUGUUGUUGGUUUACAUGUUUGGAAGGCAGCCAUGCUGCUAACCUGACUUUGUGUUGCACAAGAGCUUCACGUCGUCUGAAUUCGACGGUGUUACUGCCAUGGAGAUCGGUGUUGGGACAGGUGAUGGCUUGUUAUGAAAUUUAGUGAAUGAGAAAAUUGCUCUAUUGUUGUGCUUGUACAACUGUGUAAUUUUUCUGAUUUUUAUUUGUUUUUGUGAAGGUCAAAAUGUUGUGUCCGAGAAGUUCAAGUAUGUUAGUUUAUAUUGUAUUAUUGAGAAGUUCCAACUGGUUGUA